rnacentral:rRNA from 1 species
AGUGAACGCUGGCGGUAGGCCUAACACAUGCAAGUCGAACGGCAGCACAGUAAGAGCUUGCUCUUACGGGUGGCGAGUGGCGGACGGGUGAGGAAUACAUCGGAAUCUACUUUUUCGUGGGGGAUAACGUAGGGAAACUUACGCUAAUACCGCAUACGACCUACGGGUGAAAGCAGGGGAUCUUCGGACCUUGCGCGAUUGAAUGAGCCGAUGUCGGAUUAGCUAGUUGGCGGGGUAAAGGCCCACCAAGGCGACGAUCCGUAGCUGGUCUGAGAGGAUGAUCAGCCACACUGGAACUGAGACACGGUCCAGACUCCUACGGGAGGCAGCAGUGGGGAAUAUUGGACAAAGGGCGCAAGCCUGUUCCAGCCAUACCGCGUGGGUGAAGAAGGCCUUCGGGUUGUAAAGCCCUUUUGUUGGGAAAGAAAAGCAGCAGGUUAAUACCCCGCUGUUCUGACGGUACCCAAAGAAUAAGCACCGGCUAACUUCGUG